GAAAGAAAGAAAGAAAGAAAGAAAGAGGGAAAGAUGUCCAGGACUGGCAAGUGGGAAUAGGAGAAGAGAAGGUGGCUUAUACAUCUAAGAGGAAUCCUAAACCCAAUAGCCUUGAAUUGCUUCAGUUUGUUUAUUUUCUUUAUAAUAGAACCAAAAGAGUUUAUUUUGCAACUGUUAGCUUCCCCCUCAGGUUGAGCAAAAAUAGGCUCUCUUCUGUCACUGCCAAUAUUACCCCCAAGAGGUACCCUGCUCCAUCCACACCCUUUACCUGGGGUACUUAAUUCAUAAAUCAUAGAAUUUCAGAACUGGAAGGACGUUUAGAGAUCAUUUUUUCCCCAUUACUCCUUACCCAUUAAAGGUAAGGAAACUGAGUCCCAGAGAAAGGGACUAACUUGCUCAGUUGAGCUUGAGGACAAUGAUUAACAAAUAGGAAAGAUUAUUUGUCCUAAAAAAUAUUUGUGGCUGCCAAUGAAAGGAGUGAAAGGGCUUCCCAAAGGGUUCACUUGAUCUUGGGCCUAAUUCUCUCUCAUUUUAGCCUCAGUCCUUUUUUUUUUUUAAUUUGGACCAGACAUAUGGAAUCUAGCAUUUGCUUUGUGAAAUUACAGGUACUUUAAAGACUAUGUACCACAGUGGAAAGUUGGGGUAUUGGGAGAGUUGAAUCCCAGUUCAGAAUCUGCCACUGGAUGGCAGUGUGCCCUUCAGUCAAUACACCUCUCAGUCCCUUACCAUCUCCUCUCCCGCUCCAUAAAUCUUGAGAGAAUGAUAUUGCAUAUGCAUUUUUGAUUCUCUGCUGAAAACUCCGGUACUAGUACCUAUUAAAUAAUAUUCUUUUUUUUUUUUUUGGCUUGAUAUUCAAAGCCUGUUGUAUCCUGAUAACACUUUACCUUUUCAUCCUUAUUUAGCAAUAUUCUCCUUCAUGUAUUCCAUAUUCCAAAGGUAAUGAAGUAUUGUCUGCUCCCUGGGCUGAAAGUGUCUUUGCUUUGGUUCGUUUUCUCUAUUUGUUUAGCAUGGGAACGUCCUCCCACUACUUCUUGACAUAUUGAAUUUCUACCAACCCCCUAAACCAACUCAAAUGUUGCCUCACCUGGGAUCCCCAAGUCUAUAAAGACCUUAUUCCUUGGACCAAUAAUGAGUACUUUGAGAACAGACUGGGGGUGAGCUUUUUUUUUUAUUCUUGCUGCUUAUCAUAGUGUCUGACACAUAAUGGGCACUUAAUAAAUGCUUGUUGAUUGAUUGAAAAAUUUCAUUUUGUAUCUCUCUAACGUACUUGCUAUUCCAUGAUUUGACAAUUGCUUACCUUUCCAGAUGUUUCAUAUCACUCUCUUUCAUUUACAUUAUAAUGAUAGAGAGCAAGAAGAGAGAGAUGGGGGAAAGAAUAACAGGCUAAGGGUAAAGUCCAAAGGAGGAUCAUUUGGCAUUUAGACAUUGUCCAAGAGACUAGAAAGGCAGGUAAAAGAGGAGAAAGAUUAGUCUAAAUGGGAAAUGUCCAAGAAUAAAAUUGAUAAUAGAAAAGCAAAAGAAAAGAUGAAGGUAGAGAGGAGGAAGUGAGAGAUCUUAUCCGUUAGCAUAGGGCUCCCUAAGACAAGAGGGUGUCAUGUUCCAUAUGACCACUAGAUGGUAAAGGAAGACUAUGGUUGAACUGUCAGCCACUCUGGGAAGACAAAUCAUGAAACUUCAUGGAAACUUAAGAUGUUAGUGCUAAUAGGAAAUCUAAAGAUGAUAUAUUCCAGUGUUUCUCAAAUUGUGGUCCAAAUAAUCCUGGAGAGGGGGAAGGUCUCUGAAAUCUUUUCAGAGGUUCUACAAGUUCAAAAUUAGAUUUUAUUUCUAAUAUGGUAAAUAUUUACAAAUACAGCACAUACAAAUAUAAAUAAAAACUCUUUGGACAGAUCCUCAAUAAUCUUUAGGAGUAUAAAGAUUCUGAGAAUAAAAGUUUUAAGAAAUGCUGAUCUAGUCCAACCUAAUAUUACAAGGUUAGAAUAGUGAGGUCCCUGUAUGUGCACGAAUGUUUGUGGCAGCCCUUUUUGUAGUGGCUAAAAACUGGAAACUGAAUGGAUGUCCAUCAGUUGGAGAAUGGCUGAAUAA
rnacentral:lncRNA from 1 species